rnacentral:lncRNA from 1 species
CUGACUGAUAGCUCGUUCUAGCGGUGAAAUAGCAGGAAACAACAUAGCCCAUUCAUAUCCUGCCCUCAUGAUAGGAGUACAUAGUAAAAGGCUAUGACUAUAUAUAAAAGGGUAAAAACCUCAGAAAGGGAGAGGGGCUUUCUCCCUCCAUCUUUCUCUUCUCGGUAAUCUUCAUAAUUGAAAAGAAGAACGAAGCAAUGGAAAAAAUAUGUAAAACGC